rnacentral:rRNA from 1 species
CCUACGGGGGGCAGCAGUGGGGAAUAUUGCACAAUGGGGGAAACCCUGAUGCAGCGACGCCGCGUGAGUGAAGAAGUAUUUCGGUACGUAAAGCUCUAUCAGCAGGGAAGAAAAUGACGGUACCUGACUAAGAAGCCCCGGCUAACUACGUGCCAGCAGCCGCGGUAAUACGUAUGGGGCAAGCGUUAUCCGGAUUUACUGGGUGUAAAGGGAGCGUAGACGGCAGCGCAAGUCUGGAGUGAAAUCCCAUGGCUUAACCAUGGAACUGCUUUGGAAACUGUGCAGCUAGAGUGCAGGAGAGGUAAGCGGAAUUCCUAGUGUAGCGGUGAAAUGCGUAGAUAUUAGGAGGAACACCAGUGGCGAAGGCGGCUUACUGGACUGUAACUGACGUUGAGGCUCGAAAGCGUGGGGAGCAAACAGGAUUAGAUACCCCAGUAGUC